GGAUAAUCAUGAAGAUCACACUCAUUGCCGUGUGCCUUAUUGGACUGUGUUGUGCAGUUUUUGCUAAUGACGAGCAUGAACGAGAGAAGCGCUCAUCCAGUGGAGAGAGAAGACCAUACUGGCCACAAUUUAUUCCCAACAUUCCCACCACCACCACCAACAACAACAAUAACAACAUG